rnacentral:rRNA from 1 species
GAUGAACGCUGGCGGCGUGCUUAACACAUGCGAGUCGAACGAAGCACUUUAUUUGAUUUCCUUCUGGCCUUAUUAUUUUGUGACUGAGUGGCGGACGGGUGAGUAACGCGUGGGUCACCUGCCUUUUACAGGGGGAUAACAGUUUGAAACGGCUGCUAAUACCCCAUAAGCGCACAGCAUCGCAUGAUGCAUUGUGAAAAACUCCGGUUGUAUAAGAUGGACCCUCGUUGGUUUAGCUAGUUGGUGAUGUAACGGCCCACCAAGGCGACGAUCCAUAGACGGGAUGAGAGAGGGACCCGAGACACCGACACUGGGAAACGGUCGAAACUCUUACGGGAGGGAGCAAAGGGGAAUAUUGCAAAAUGGCGGAAAGGAUGAUGGAGCGACGAUGGGAGAGCGAAGAAGUAAGUCGGUAUGUAAAGCUCUAUCAGCAGGGAAGAUAAUGACGGUACCUGAUCAAGAAGCAACGGCUAAAUACGUG